rnacentral:lncRNA from 1 species
CCAAAUGACUCGUAUGGAAGCACCUACAAUCAAGAGUGGAGCACUCAUUCUCCCUUUGGAUGGAGCUUAGAUGGCCAAGAACCACUAGGAAUUCAGCAACUACAUCAGCAGCCUAAUGUUGCACCUUCAACUCAAGAUGAAGAGUUAGUGUCGGAGGAGCUGAUGAUGAGGUUCAUUACAAGUCUUGAUGACAGAUUCCAACAAAC